rnacentral:rRNA from 1 species
AUUGAACGCUGGCGGCAUGCUUUACACAUGCAAGUCGAACGGUAACAGGCCGCAAGGUGCUGACGAGUGGCGAACGGGUGAGUAAUGCAUCGGAACGUGCCCAGUCGUGGGGGAUAACGCAGCGAAAGCUGUGCUAAUACCGCACACGAUCUAUGGAUGAAAGCGGGGGACGGUAAGGCCUCGCGCGAUUGGAGCGGCCGAUGUCAGAUUAGGUAGUUGGUGGGGUAAAGGCCUACCAAGCCGACGAUCUGUAGCUGGGCUGAGAGGACGACCAGCCACACUGGGACGGAGACACGGCCCAGACUCAUACGGGAGGCAGCAGUGGGGAAUUUUGGACAAUGGGCGCAAGCCUGAUCCAGCAAUGCCGCGUGCAGGAAGAAGGCCUUCGGGUUGUAAACUGCUUUUGUACGGAACGAAACGGCCUGGGUUAAUACCCUGGGCUAAUGACGGUACCGUAAGAAUAAGCACCGGCUAACUACGUGCCAGCCGCCGCAGUAAUAC